rnacentral:rRNA from 1 species
GGAUGCGAUCAUACCAGCACUAAAGCACCGGAUCCUAUCAGAACUCCGAAGUUAAGCGUGCUUGGGCGAGAGUAGUACUAGGAUUGGUGACCUCCUCUAGGAAGUCCUCGUGUUGCAUCCC